rnacentral:rRNA from 1 species
UACGAAGGGGGCUAGCGUUGCUCGGAAUCACUGGGCGUAAAGCGCACGUAGGCGGAUCUUUAAGUCAGGGGGUGAAAUCCCAAGGCUCAACCUUGGAACUGCCUUUGAUACUGGGGAUCUCGAGUCCGGAAGAGGUUGGUGGAACUGCGAGUGUAGAGGUGAAAUUCGUAGAUAUUCGCAAGAACACCAGUGGCGAAGGCGGCCAACUGGUCCGGUACUGACGCUGAGGUGCGAAAGCGUGGGGAGCAAACAGG